UCUUUGACCAAGGUGGAACUAUACAAA
rnacentral:piRNA from 1 species